UUCCUUUUUUGGAAGAGGCUAUAAGCAAAUUAACAUUUCCAACCAUUUAACCUUUGUUAACAACAUUAAGUGCUGCAGCUAUCGGACUAAUUCACAAGCAUUAGAUUAACCAAGUUAGACAAACUGUUUGAUAAGUCAUCAGACACCAUGCAAAGACACUAUGGUGUCGGUAACUCAAUUAUGUUAUCAUAUAUCCCCAUAUUGAAGUUAUGUAAUAAUACAGAGAGAGAAGAACAGAACAAUUCAAAUGUCACUAGUUUCAAUGCUAAAAAUUAAUUUCCAACAUUUAAGAAUGUUAGCAACAAAAUUUCAGAAAGUAAUUAUACAAAAUGAACAAAAGGAAGCAUAUCCAUGGGAUAACGCCAGAAUACUUUAAAAGUUUCAAUGUGUGAAUGCUAACAUGAGCUUGCCUUAUCCUUAAUCCCAUGUUCUCAAAUUCCAUGUCAGGUAGAGAUGAUGGAAAAGGUAAUAAAGAAGAUUCACAAAAUAAUUUCUUUGAUAAUUUUGAUCAUAAGCUCCUGUACUUAACACCAACUAUGCUGACUUGUUAUAAUACUGCCAAUACUCCAGUAAACACAAAUACAGCCAUAAAAGCUGAUGCAUGGAUACAAUUAUACUCACAGUUUUUAUAGGAUCCUCUAUG
rnacentral:misc_RNA from 1 species